UGGCCUAGAAAACUCUAGAGCUACUCCUUUUUCUUUUCUUUUUUUUUUCUCUCUUUUCGCGCACACAAGGAGCAGCGCCGCUCCUCCCUCUCCUUCUCAUUUUUCGACCACCUGAGCUCCUCGCCGCCAUCUCCUCCUCCUCUUUCUUCUUCCUUUUCUUCUUCUUCUUCUUUCUUUUCUUUUCUUUCUUUUCCUUUCUUUUCCUUUCUUUCCUGCGUCGCGUUCCAGCAAGCUUUGGAGCAGCAGAAACGCGAGCAACCACGUCGCGCCACCUCCACAGACGAGCGGAUCCUCGUUGCGCCGGCCAGCUGCGUCGCGCCACCAGGCCGUCGCGUCACGCAGCAGCGCGCCCACUGCCAAAUCGAGCAGCGCCACAGCACCAUCGCCGUCGAUCGCGCAAGCAGCCGCUGCCACUGUCGCUGCUCCAAUCGCCUCCGGUUGUCUCUCCGGCGAACAUCACCACUCUCUCCGCCUCUCUCCGCCACUGUCAGUGGGAUCCGGUUCAACAAGAAUUGUAUUUUGGGAUACUUAUAAAGUUUCGGACUGUGAAGACAAAGGCUGGAAGCGCGCAAUAAGAAAGACAGUCCUUUUAAGGACAACAAAAACUGU